GUUACACGGUCCCAGCUAAGCACCGCAUCAGAUCCAUAUCCCAUCUCACUAUACCAGACACUUCUCUUUCCAAAACUACCCCUUUCUCGUAUUUUUAAUGACCAAAAACACACUCCCUCCACUUACUGCCAUUUUCUUUCACGUUACCAAUCUACUUCCCUCAAUCAAUCAUCAUCUCCACGAGAAAUUUUAACCAUGGCGUCAAUGGCAACCAUCCUCCGUCGAAAACUCCACGAUAACAGACAUUUCCUUAUCCAAACACGACUCUUCUCCCUCGAAUCUUCCUCUCAUGACACCAAAACUACACCGCGCAUAGAGAAAAUAUUGAUUGCAAACAGAGGCGAAAUAGCUUGCAGGAUCAUGCGGACCGCGAAACGCCUAGGGAUUCGAACCGUCGCGGUUUACAGUGACGCGGAUAGAGACUCGCUCCACGUGAAAUCGGCUGACGAGGCUGUCCAUAUCGGUCCGCCUCCGGCUCGGUUGAGUUAUUUGAAUGGCUCGGCGAUUGUCGAGGCCGCGAUUCGUACUGGUGCACAGGCUAUUCACCCGGGUUAUGGUUUCUUAUCCGAGAGUUCUGAUUUCGCUACACUAUGUGAAGACAAAGGUCUGACUUUUGUCGGACCACCAGCAUCGGCAAUCCGGGACAUGGGUGAUAAAAGUGCAUCAAAGAGGAUAAUGGGUGCAGCAGGGGUGCCGCUUGUGCCAGGUUAUCAUGGCAGUGAACAAGAUAUUGAACUUAUGAAGUCAGAAGCAGAUAAGAUUGGAUACCCUAUCUUAAUAAAGCCGACGCAUGGAGGUGGUGGAAAGGGUAUGAGGAUAGUUCAAAGUCCAAAUGAAUUUGUCGACUCUUUUUUGGGAGCACAACGUGAAGCAGCUGCUUCAUUUGGUAUAAACACAAUUCUGCUAGAGAAAUAUAUCACAAAGCCAAGACACAUAGAAGUUCAGAUAUUUGGGGACAAACAUGGCAAUGUACUACAUUUAUAUGAAAGGGACUGCAGCGUACAGAGAAGACAUCAGAAGAUAAUUGAAGAAGCUCCAGCUCCAAAUGUCAUGAACGACUUCCGCUCCCACUUGGGCCAGGCUGCUGUAUCUGCAGCCAAGGCAGUUGGUUACCACAAUGCUGGCACUGUGGAGUUUAUAGUUGACACUGUCUCAGGCCAGUUCUAUUUCAUGGAGAUGAACACCCGCCUUCAGGUUGAGCAUCCUGUGACUGAGAUGAUUGUUGGCCAAGAUCUUGUAGAGUGGCAAAUAUCUGUUGCAAAUGGAGAACCACUACCUAUUAAUCAGUCACAGGUGCCUUUAUUGGGGCAUGCCUUUGAAGCCCGAAUAUAUGCUGAAAAUGUUCCAAAAGGAUUUCUUCCUGCAACUGGAGUUCUUCACCAUUAUCGUCCCGUUCCAGUUUCACCAACAGUUCGGGUUGAGACUGGAGUUGAGCAGGGGGAUACUGUUAGCAUGCACUACGAUCCAAUGAUUGCAAAGCUUGUUGUCUCAGGAGAAAACCGUGCUGCAGCACUAGUCAAACUGAAGGAUUGCUUAUCCCAAUUUCAGGUUGCAGGUGUGCCAACUAAUAUCAAUUUUCUUCAAAAACUUGCUGACCAUAGAGCAUUUGAAAAUGGCAAUGUGGAGACCCACUUUAUUGAACAUUAUAAAGAUGACCUCUUUACUGAUCCUAACAAUUUAACACGUGCAAAGGAAACAUAUGAUAAUGCUAGAUUCAGCGCAACCCUGGUAGCUGCAUGUCUUUGUGAGAAGGAGCAUUCUGCUAUAAAGUCCAGUCUCCCUGGGACCAAUGGGUUGCUCCCCAUAUGGUAUUCUCAUCCCCCUUUUCGAGCCCAUUAUCAAGCUAGUUGUACCAUGGAGCUUGAAUGGGAGAAUGAAUAUGAUGGAAGCAGCUCCAAAUUUUUUACCUUCUCCAUCACUUAUCAGUCAGAUGGGAACUAUCUUAUUGAGACAGAAGAAGUCAAUUCCCCUGGUUUGGAAGUCAAGGCAACACUCCUGCAUGACCAAGAUUUUAGAGUUGAAACUGAUGGUGUGAGCAUGGAUGUUAGUUUAUCUGCAUAUUCCAAGGACAAAAUAAAGCACAUUCAUUUAUGGCACGGAUCACAUCAUUAUCAUUUCAGACAAAAGUUAGAGCUUGACUUGUCUGAUGAUAAUGAAAUACAACAGAAGACCAAUUUUGAGACUGCAUUGCACCCUCCAGGAACUGUGGUGGCUCCCAUGGCUGGUUUAGUAGUCAAGGUUCUGGUGACGGAUGGAACAAAGGUAGAAGAAGGGCAGCCUAUAUUAGUACUUGAAGCAAUGAAGAUGGAGCAUGUUGUGAAGGCUCCAUUUACUGGGCAUGUUCAUGGGCUUCAAGUGACAGCUGGCCAACAGGUUUCUGAUAGCAGUCCCCUCUUCAGUGUCAAGGGUGAAUAGAAUCUCAGAGUGAAGUUUUCCUUACAUGAGGAAACUGCUUGAACAAAUGGCGGCGUAAACAGAUCUACAGGAGUUUCCUGAGCUGUGGGUUCAAUGUUGCAAAGGUUUGGAAACGAAAACAUCUUCUUGAGCAGAUGUGAUGAGCAUGGAAUCCACGGAUUGGCAGGUCAGCCCGUUAAUGUUUUACUUUUCUAGUCUUUCUGGGUUACGAUGUCACACAAUUGCCGGCACUCUCAGAGCUCCAACAAAUACAUAGCCUGAAUUCUGAGUUUGACGAUUGGAUUGCCUAAAAGUAAUGCAAUUUUGUGAAUAAUAAAUAUGAAGAUGUUGGAUAACUUUCUAGUCAAAAUAUUGACAUAUCAAACAUGUAGCGUUUGUACCUUACCUUUUCGUGUUGUGUUAACAUGCAAAGUUGAAUUGCCUUACUUUUUAGUGAAAAAAAAGAGCUGAAUAGCCUUGCGCUAUGGUUUAUAAAUAAAUUUCUUCUCUCUUAAGAAUAAAAAAAUUACUAUUUUUUGAUA